rnacentral:sRNA from 1 species
UUACUUUUAAAAUUUUAUUUCUAAUGGCAUACCUAUGUAAUUACUUACAAAAAGUAAGGUUAUAUUUAAAAUAUACUUUCCAAAUAAUAUAGUAGGAUUUUCACAUCUUUUUCUGCUUUCAGGGAUAAUUUUUGAUUAGAAUUUUAGUUUUGU